GGGGAUGUGGUGCAACCUGGCAACAUUCAAGCUUUGGGAGCUUGCGAUCCAGAUUCAAAUUCUGGCAUCCCCA
rnacentral:tRNA from 1 species